AUUGAACGCUGGCGGCAUGCCUUACACAUGCAAGUCGAACGGCAGCACGGGUGCUUGCACCUGGUGGCGAGUGGCGAACGGGUGAGUAAUACAUCGGAACAUGUCCUGUAGUGGGGGAUAGCCCGGCGAAAGCCGGAUUAAUACCGCAUACGAUCUACGGAUGAAAGCGGGGGACCUUCGGGCCUCGCGCUAUAGGGUUGGCCGAUGGCUGAUUAGCUAGUUGGUGGGGUAAAGGCCUACCAAGGCGACGAUCAGUAGCUGGUCUGAGAGGACGACCAGCCACACUGGGACUGAGACACGGCCCAGACUCCUACGGGAGGCAGCAGUGGGGAAUUUUGGACAAAGGGCGAAAGCCUGAUCCAGCAAUGCCGCGUGUGUGAAGAAGGCCUUCGGGUUGUAAAGCACUUUUGUCCGGAAGGAAAUCCUUGGCCCUAAUACGGUCGGGGGAUGACGGUACCGGAAGAAUAAGCACCGGCUAACUACGUG
rnacentral:rRNA from 1 species